UACGAGGGGGGCGAGCGUUGUUCGGAAUUAUUGGGCGUAAAGGGUGCGUAGGCGGUUUGGUAAGUCUCUUGUGAAAUCUAUGGGCUCAACUCAUAGUCUGCAAGGGAAAUUGCCGGGCUUGAGUGUGGGAGAGGUGAGUGGAAUUUCCGGUGUAGCGGUGAAAUGCGUAGAUAUCAGGAGGAACACCAAUAGCGAAGGCAGCUCGCUGGGACGGUACUGACGCUAAGGCGCGAAAGCGUGGGGAGCGAACAGG
rnacentral:rRNA from 1 species